rnacentral:rRNA from 1 species
UACGUAGGGUGCAAGCGUUGUCCGGAAUUAUUGGGCGUAAAGAGCUCGUAGGCGGUUUGUCGCGUCUGCUGUGAAAACCCGAGGCUCAACCUCGGGCCUGCAGUGGGUACGGGCAGACUAGAGUGCGGUAGGGGAGAUUGGAAUUCCUGGUGUAGCGGUGGAAUGCGCAGAUAUCAGGAGGAACACCGAUGGCGAAGGCAGAUCUCUGGGCCGUUACUGACGCUGAGGAGCGAAAGGGUGGGGAGCAAACAGG